CCAGUUCCUCCGUCCUCUUCUACAUGCAGCAUGGCAGCAGGAAAGAACUCACGAUGCUCCUCUCAGCGGUUUCUUCAAAUGUUACACAUUUGAAACGAAAAUCUAUCCAGUUUUUCUGCAGCAAGCCUGACCGCUGUAUGGAUUCCAGCUGGGAAUGGUGUCUGGGUGACUUGCAUGAAGGCUAAAGAUGGCUUCCACAGAAAAAGCUUCAUGCCUAUCGGACAAAGAUCUGAGGUUGCUGUGUUUCACACGCUCCUGAGAUGGAAGCUCUUGGUUGGCUAUGACCUCGCUGAGUUUGAGACCUGGAUUGUGCACGAGUCAACAAAUGGGAAAGUUACCACAUGAUUCUGCUGGUUAUGGACUUGUAUUUGAAUGGUUCCUUUUUGUCUUCACUGGCCAGAAAACAGCUGCCCUCAAGCAAGAUGAAUAUACCUGAAUGACAAAACUACAACUCUUUGUUUAAUGAAGGACAAUAUAAUGGUGUCUGGUAACUGUUUUGACAAAUAAACUCUAUAAAAUAA